GAACUGGGAGAUUUAGUUUCUUCACCUAAGAUCCUAAAAUUGGCUGUGAUCUGAAGUUCCUUGAUUCUUUGAUUGAAAGCAGCAGAGACCAACACCAGUAGUGGAGCGACAGACUUCCAGGUCUAUGGCACUAUGGAUUUGGUGACAGAAGUCCGAGAGACUCGGGUUCGAUCCCUGGGUCAGGAAGAUCCCCUGGAAGAUGCCAUGGCAACCCACUUCAGUAUUCUUGCCUGGAGAAUUCCAUGGACAGAAGAGCCUGGAGGUCUAAGAUCCACAGAGUCGCAGAGAGUCGGACAUGACUGAAGUGACUUAGCAUACAAGCAUGCAUGCUUGUGGUGGGCAGUGGCCUCCCUCUCCGCCUGUCCUUCGUUCCUCCAUGUGGCUCCACUGCACACUACAGGAAAUCUGCAGCUUCCCUGGCUUCCCCCAACCCCUACCCCCCGCCACCUGGCAUAAAACUGUCUGGCUUUGGGGCAGAAUCCAAAGCAAUGGAAAGGAUCCACUUAAAAGAAGCACAGAAACAUAUAGUUCUCUCUCUCUUUUUAUUACAUAGGGAAUUACAACAAUGUGCUUCAAUGGGCAUUUCUAUUAUUUGAUUUGAAUACUAAACUUCAUUAGCUUUUAGCCCAACUUGUGAUUCCAGUAACUGACGUUUGUCAAAAAUGAGGUUUGGACGUGUCUUUUUGGCUUGGGUAAAUUAAAAGAAGAAUUUUUUGAACUGGGUUGAGGCGAGCUCCGCACACCAAGGGCACAAAUAGACCCUCCAUCAGCCUCUGCGGCAGGGACGGCCGGACAGGAGGCCCUGCUCGCUGGUGCACGUGAGCAUCCCCAGGGCCUCCAGAAGACGAGUAUGCCUCCGGCUUUUACUCAGCUGCCUCACCCUCACUCUCUCAGCAAUGAAGCCCUAUCAUUCUUAUUUGAUGAUUCUUUUUU
ensembl:lncRNA